AUGUUGGUGGCUCCUUCCUGGUCUGAAGUCGGCCACUCAGAGUGCAUUUAUUCCUCCUACAGAGACCUCAUCUCUAGACAGUCGGAGACACAGCAGAUGGAGGUCCUGAAGGAGAAAGUGGAGGAGGAAGAGGAGGCCGAGCGGGCCGAGCAGGCCGAGAGGGCCGAGAGGGCCAAGAAAAUGAUGAGGCCGAUGGAGGUGCGGAAGGAGGACACCACCAGGACGCAGGAGAUGCUCAGAGACCUGGAGAGGAAGCUGUCGGAGAUUGAGGUGUCCAUCCCGGAGAAGCCCUCGACUUUUACCAAGGAUGCUAUUGACACCUCCAAGCUGCCCCUUUCCUACCAAAGCAACACGCCCAAGGAGGAACACCUGCUGCAGGUGGCAGACAACUUCUCCCGCCAGUACAGCCAUUUGUGCCCGGACCGCGUGCCCCUCUUCUUGUACCCAGUGAACGAGUGCAACGUGCCUAAGUUCGUGAGCACGACCAUCCGGCCCACACUGAUGCCUUACCCUGAGCUCUACAACUGGGACACCUGCGCCCAGUUUGUCUCAGACUUCCUGUCCGCGGUGCCCUUGCCCGACCCCCUCAAGCCGCCCUCCUACCUGUACUCCUCGACCACGGUGCUCAAGUACCAGGAGGGCAACUGCUUUGACUUCAGCACGCUGCUCUGCUCCAUGCUCCUCGGCGCCAGCUACGAUGCCUACUGCGUCUACGGCUAUGGUUCGCAGGACCUGUGCCACAUGGACCUGACUCGGGAGGUGUGCCCACUCACCGUGAAGCCCAAGGAGAUGGUCAAGGAGGAGGAAAAGGCACCACCUAAGAAGUACGCCGUCAAACCGCCCAGGGACCUGACAAGCAGGUUUGAGCGGGAGCAGGAGAUAAAAAGGCAGGAGGGAGUCAAGGCCGAGGAGGAGAAGCGGCUGAAGCAGGGGGAGCACCUCGCGGAGCAGGAGAGUGCAAAGACCGACCCCCUGCAUGGCCUGCGGGUACACUCCUGGGUCCUGGUGUUGUCGGGGAAACGCGAGGUGCCCGAGAGCUUUUUCAUUGACCCGUUCACUGCACGCAGCUACAGCACCCAAGACGACCACUUCCUGGGAAUAGAGAGCCUCUGGAACCACAAGAACUACUGGGUCAACAUGCAGGACUGUUGGAACUGCUGCAAGGACCUGGUCUUUGACCUGGGAGACCCUGUGAGGUGGGAGUACCUGCUCUUGGAGACUGACAAGCCUCUCCUGUCCCUGACUGAGGAGGAGGACGACGGGAUGAACGAUGACGAUGAUGUGGAAAAUCUGGGCAAGGAGGAUGAGGAUAAGAGCUUCGACAUGCCGUGCUCGUGGGUGGAGCAGAUUGAGAUCUCCCCAGAAGCGUUCGAGACCCGCUGCCCAAACGGGAAGAAGGUGAUACAGUACAAGAGGGCAAGGCUGGAGAAGUGGGCCCCGUACCUCAACAACAACGGCCUUGUGUGCCGCCUCACCACCUACGAGGACUUGCAGUGUACCAAGAUUUUGGAGAUAAAGGAGUGGUUCCAGAACCGGAAGGAUAUGCUGGAGCUGAAGCACAUAAACAAGGUCACGGGCCUGAACAUCGACUACUUCAAGCCGGGCCACCCCCAGGCUCUGCGUGCGCACUCAUACACGUCCAUGCAACCCGAGAUGGACCGCGUCAUGGAGUUUUAUGAAACGGCCCGCGUGGACGGCCUGAUCAAACGGGAGGAGACGCCCAGGACAAUGACGGAGUACUACCAAGGGCGGCCCGACCUCCUCUCCUACCGCCAUGUCAAUUUCGGGCCCCGGAUCAAGAAGUUGUCUCUGAACAGUGCAGAGUCAAACCCCCGGCCCGUGGUGAAAAUCACAGAGCGAUUCUCCCGCAACCCUGCGAAGCCUGCAGAUGAAGACGUGGCAGAGCGCGUGUUUCUGUUGCUGGAUGAGCGCAUCCAGCUGCGCUAUCACUGCCGCGAGGACCACCUCACGGCCUCCAAGCGUGAGUUCCUGUGGCGCACGGAGGGGGACAGCAAGGGCAACAAGAUCAUCAUGACGCCUGACAUGUGUCUCAGCUUUGAGGUGGAGCCCAUGGAGCACACCAAGAAGCUUCUCUACCAGUACGAGGCCAUGAUGAAGCUGAAGAACGAGGAGAAGUUGGCCAGGCAUCAGGCUUGGGAGUCAGAGCUGGAGGUGCUGGAGAUCCUGAAGCUUCGGGAGGAAGAGGAGGCGGCGCAUGUGCUGACCAUCUCCAUCUACGACACCAAGCGCAACGAGAAGAGCAAGGAGUAUCGGGAGGCCAUGGAGCGCAUGAUGCUCGAGGAGCACCUGUGGCAGGCGGAGGCCCAGCUGGACUACCUGGCCCCGUUUCUGGCACAGCUCCCACCAGGAGAGAAGCUGACACGCUGGCAGGCCGUGCGCCUCAAGGAUGAGUGCCUCAGUGACUUCAAGCAGCGGCUCAUCGACAAGGCCAACCUCAUCCAGGCCCGGUUUGAAAAGGAAACCCAGGAGCUGCAAAAGCAGCAGCAGUGGUAUCAGGAGAACCAGGUGACCCUGACGCCCGAGGAUGAAGACUUGUACCUGAGUUACUGCUCUCAGGCCAUGUUCCGCAUCCGCAUCCUGGAGCAGCGGCUCAAUCGACACAAGGAGCUGGCCCCACUGAAGUACCUGGCUCUGGAGGAAAAGCUCUACAAGGACCCACGCCUGGUGGAGUUACUGAAAGUCUUUGUUUGAUGCUUCUCAGUCCCCACACCUGUGGUCCUUUGCCCCUCCUGAGGCCUCAGUGAAGCUGCCAGAGAAAGAAACCUCCCCCAAAGUCUGGCCCACGUGCUCCCUAUGCCCAGCUAAUGACCAUCCACUUGGGCACCUGGCCUCGCUGCUGCACCACCUCCCUGCAGCCAUCUGUUCCUGCUUCUCCUGAUUUUCCUGUUGGUGGUCCGCCUAAGGGUUCAGCCGACUCAUCCAUUCAUUGAGGCCGAGGCCGUAGGGGCUUCCCUCCAGGGCUCCACGACUGACUCGGACCCGGAAUCAGACUCCGUUUCCCUCUACGCCUCCUGUGGG